GACGAACGCUGGCGGCGUGCUUAACACAUGCAAGUCGAACGGUAAGGCUCCGCCUUGCUGGGGUGCACGAGUGGCGAACGGGUGAGUAACACGUGGGUGACCUGCCCUGCACUUCGGGAUAACCCUAGGAAACUGGGUCUAAUACCGGAUAGGACCGCCCCGUGAGGGGGGGGGGGAGAGUAGUUUCGGUGGGGGAUGGGCCCGCGGCCUAUCAGCUUGUUGGUGGGGUAGUGGCCUACCAAGGCGGCGUCGGGUAGCCGGCCUGAGAGGGUGGACGGCCACAUUGGGACUGAGAUACGGCCCAGACUCCUACGGGAGGCAGCAGUGGGGAAUAUUGCACAAUGGGCGGAAGCCUGAUGCAGCGACGCCGCGUGGGGGAUGACGGCCUUCGGGUUGUAAACUCCUUUCGCCAGCGACGAAGGGUGUCUGACGGUAGAGGGAGAAGAAGCACCGGCUAACUACGUG
rnacentral:rRNA from 1 species